AUUGAACGCUGGCGGCAGGCUUAACACAUGCAAGUCGAGCGGAGAUGAGGUGCUUGCACCUUAUCUUAGCGGCGGACGGGUGAGUAAUGCUUAGGAAUCUGCCUAUUAGUGGGGGACAACAUUCCGAAAGGAAUGCUAAUACCGCAUACGUCCUACGGGAGAAAGCAGGGGAUCUUCGGACCUUGCGCUAAUAGAUGAGCCUAAGUCGGAUUAGCUAGUUGGUGGGGGAAAGGCCUACCAAGGCGACGAUCUGUAGCGGGUCUGAGAGGAUGAUCCGCCACACUGGGACUGAGACACGGCCCAGACUCCUACGGGAGGCAGCAGUGGGGAAUAUUGGACAAUGGGGGGAACCCUGAUCCAGCCAUGCCGCGUGUGUGAAGAAGGCCUUAUGGUUGUAAAGCACUUUAAGCGUGGAGGAGGCUACUGAGACUAAUACUCUUGGAUAGUGGACGUUACCCGCAGAAUAAGCACCGGCUAACUCUGUGCCAGCCGCCGCGGUAA
rnacentral:rRNA from 1 species